AGUGAACGCUGGCGGUAGGCCUAACACAUGCAAGUCGAACGGCAGCGCAGAGGAGCUUGCUCCUUGGGUGGCGAGUGGCGGACGGGUGAGGAAUACAUCGGAAUCUACUCUGUCGUGGGGGAUAACGUAGGGAAACUUACGCUAAUACCGCAUACGACCUACGGGUGAAAGCAGGGGACCUUCGGGCCUUGCGCGAUUGAAUGAGCCGAUGUCGGAUUAGCUAGUUGGCGGGGUAAAGGCCCACCAAGGCGACGAUCCGUAGCUGGUCUGAGAGGAUGAGCAGCCACACUGGAACUGAGACACGGUCCAGACUCCUACGGGAGGCAGCAGUGGGGAAUAUUGGACAAUGGGCGCAAGCCUGAUCCAGCCAUACCGCGUGGGUGAAGAAGGCCUUCGGGUUGUAAAGCCCUUUUGUUGGGAAAGAAAUCCAGCUGGCUAAUACCCGGUUGGGAUGACGGUACCCAAAGAAUAAGCACCGGCUAACUUCGUGCCAGCCGCCGCAGUAA
rnacentral:rRNA from 1 species